CUGGGGGCAGCUCUUCCUCAGACCCAAAGACAGGGACCAGUAGCAGCAACACCUUCAUUACUGUUUUACAUAAUACACCAACACUUUUACCUGUUCCCAUGCAAGUGGUGGCUGAAGCAUAUGCAGACAGUGAAGAAACCCUCUCAGAAGACUGUCCUUUGGAGGAAGAACAUGUAAGUGCAUAAAUACCUUUACACUAAUUUGUAUAUAGCCUACUUGUGUACUGUGACGCGUGUCCCGAGCUCUCAUCAGCGUCGCCCUGGAAACAGAGCAGGCACACCUGCACCUGCUCAUUAUGGGCUGAGCGGUCACACCUGCAGCCCGUUGCAGACGGGCUUUAUAAGCGGCACCGACGAACACAGAGGCGUGAGAUGUCUCCAAAGGACUCAGCUAACAAUUCUCUGUGUUUCUCCUCCAGACAGCAGCGUGUGACCGCCAGCCCGCUAAAGAC